rfam:Otolemur garnettii contig181434, whole genome shotgun sequence.
GCUGGGCGUUGUGGUGGGCGCCUGUGGUCCCAGCUACUUGGGAGGCAGAGGCAAGAGACUCGCUUGAGCCCAGGAGUUGGAGGUUGCUGUGAGCUGUAAUGCCACGGCACUCUACCCAGGGGGACAGCUUGAGGCUCUGUCUCAAAAAAAAAAAAAAAGAAAAUUUUUUUGGAGACAGAGUCUCACUAUGUCAUCCUUGGUAGAGUGCUGUGGCGUCACAGCUCACAGCAACCUCAAACUCUUGGGCUUAAGAGAUUCUCUUGCCUCAG